rnacentral:rRNA from 1 species
AAAGGGCCGCGGUAUACUGACCGUGCGAAGGUAGCAUAAUCAUUAGUCUUUUAAUUGAAGGCUUGUAUGAAUGGUUGGACAAAAAGUAAGCUGUCUCAAUUAUAAUAAUUGAAUUUAACUUUUAAGUGAGAAGGCUUAAAUAGAUUAAGGGGACGAUAAGACCCUAUAAAGCUUGACAAUAAAUCGUUUAUAUUAUAAACUGUUAGUGUAACUUGAUUUUAAACGGUGUUUGUUGCGUUGGGGCGACGGGAAUAUAAAAGGUAACUGUUCUUAUAACAUUUAAUAACAGAAAUAUCUGAAAAAUUAAUGAUCCUUUUUUAAAGAUCAUAAGAUUAAGUUACUUUAGGGAUAACAGCGUAAUCUUCUUUAAGAGUCCAUAUCGACAGGAAGGGUUGCGACCUCGAUGUUGAAUUAAGGUAUCCUUAUAAUGCAGCAGUUAUAAAGGAAGGUCUGUU